GUACAAGGUUUCCGUAGGUGAACUGCGGAAGGAUCAUUAUAGAACAACCGAUAUCAUAUCARGGRAAGGAAGGGGUAGAGAGACCGUUCGCCGAGUCAGACUUUGAUUAGUUUGGCGUCGUGCACGUCCCCUCGCCUUCUACCGUCUGAGAUAUGUAUCAACAUACACACCUGUGCACCUUUUGUAGAUUUCUCCCCCUUCGAGAGAGGGGUGGUGGCGAUCUAUGUUUUCAUCAUAUCACACACAUCGUAUGGCCAGAAUGUAACAAACAAUGAUAAUACAACUUUCAGCAACGGAUCUCUUGGUUCUCGCAUCGAUGAAGAACGCAGCGAAUUGCGAUAAGUAAUGUGAAUUGCAGAUUUCCAGUGAAUCAUCGAAUCUUUGAACGCAUCUUGCGCUCCUUGGUAUUCCGAGGAGCAUGCCUGUUUGAGUGUCAUUCAAAUCAUCAACCAAAUAUUCGUUUAUUUGGCUUGGAGUUGGGGGUUGCUGGCAGCGAUGUCGGCUCUCCUGAAAUGCAUUAGUGAUCGAGUUGGCUAGUCUUUGACGUGCACGGCCUUGGACGUGAUAAUGAUCGUCAUGGCUGGAGCGUCUUCCCCUAGACUGUGUACAUAGGUUGCUUCUAAUCAUGAAUAGAGACAGAAAGAGAGGAGGAAGGAUUAGAGAGAGGAGAGUCUGACCUUGGUCUGAUAUGAUUUUUGGUCUAUCAAGCUUAGCUACUAGGCAGUCUUUCGAUCAGAAAGGCUGGCGAACACAAGCAAGACAACAAGCACAAGCUCUCCAUCUGUCUGUCUGUCCUUCUUUCUUUUCUUCUCUAACAUCGACAUUGGACUUGACCUCAAAUCAUGUAGGACUACCGCUGAACUUAAGCAU
rnacentral:rRNA from 1 species